UUUAACUAUAAGUUAAUAUACACCGGAAACCACGCGCAUACACGCUCGUUAAUGGGCUUAGGUAUUAGCGAGUCCUAACGAUGCAUACAAAUGUGCUCUGCGCUCUGUAGGCCCCUCAAGAUUUAUGGGCCUUGAGCUCUCUGAAGCUGUAAACAAGAGGAAAAAAAAAGAGAAAGCGAGAGAGACUGGGGGAAAGAGACAGAGGCCUGACUCGCCCCUCCAGAUUGUGGGAGAGAAGGGAUUCAUACGUAUUUUCUUUGCCUUGCGAUCUCGGUGCGUGUGGGUUUUGGCAUCGGUCUGGGGGUGGUGUUCUGCCUGAAUGCUGGUGCGCGUGGGUAGCGUGCUGUUUGUGUGCUGGGGGAUAGGAGAACGCCUGCCUCAUUUGAAUGGCUGUGCAGGGGCCCGAACCUAAGAGGCAUUUGUGGGUAUAUACAUGUGAGUGAGUGUGUGCACCGUGUUAGGUGUGUGUGUGUGUGUGUCUGUGCGGUCCCCAUUCACUUGUGACAGACAGGCCUCCCUCUGGGCCAGGCUGUUGUCCCUUGAACCUGAUGAACAAAUCUCUAACAAUCAUAAUAACAAUAAAUAACAAUAAUAAAAGCAGUAGUUCAGAGUUCCACCCUAGUAGGGUAACAAUAAAAUGCCCAGGAGAUAUUUUGAGGAGGGGGCAGAGGAAGGGGUCACUAUCACAGGAUCUCAGAUGAAGACUAGAAAGGAAGUUAGCUUCUUUAAAUGCCCUGGGGGGCUGGCGCUGGGAAUCCCCUCCCUAGACGGAGCCCUCUGACCAGAGGAGGAGAGGAAGAGCCAGGAGGCCACUCUUUCCUGCUUCUUUUUCAAUUCUUUUGCUUUGAACGAGAAGGAAAGGGAUCCCACUUACAGGGUGGUUAGUAGCUUUGGGGAUUCUCUGGGAUCCCCUGUCUUAAUGAGAAGGCCAAAGGUGCAGGGUCAGGCCAAAGGACCGAGUUAAAUGAAGCUCUGAGCGCAGCCUCGAUCCCCGCGGCCCAGGCGGCAGAGGUGCCCAGGAGGACUAGCCGCGGGGCCGGGCGGGAAGCAGAAAAAUAUUUAUGGCCGCCGGGCCAGGAGAGUGGGGAGAACUGGAGAGCGGAGAGCGAAGGAAGCCGGGGUUUCUGCAGGCCCAGGGAAAGUUCCCUUCCUAGAGUCUUUUUUAAAAGAAAACGAAGGGAAGAGUUGAAGCGCCUUGAAUUUUCCUUCGGGAGCAUGGAGCCAAGCGGAUUUCCGCAAAGGAAGCGAAGAUCACAGUCCAGGGUCCGGCAGUGUCCGCCUCAUUCUCUCCAGGCCUCUCCACUUGCGCAGCUCUCAGCCACCCGGAGAUGACCGAAGGGGCUUCUGGGCUGCGUUGGGAGCUGACACUGCCCCCCGCCCAUUCCAGCUUGGCUUCCCAAAGUCCAGCGACCUCCAACCCUCCUUGGGGGAAAAAUUACCAGCACCCAGGCACAUUAGCCCCCUGUCCUGCGUGACCUGGUUCCCUUCAGAAAUAUUUUACCACGAAGAAGAAAGAACAGCUUGGAGCCCUGUUUACAUCUAGUUCUACUGAUCCAUUCACAUCUGGAGGGUUUAUUUAUAACACCCUCUAUAACUCUCUCUGUUUGGAAGCACUGGUGGCUCUAUUGACAGACUGAUGUCUACAAAAUAUUGCUCUAUCUCUAACCAUACCUAAAUGUGCUGUGGUUGUAUUUACAGAUUUAUGCUUGAGGAAAAUAUAAUUAUUUCCAUUGUAUUUGUGCAUAUACAAUAGUUAUAGGAGCAGAUUUAUAUAUGGGAAAAUAUACGACUCUCUUAUAGCCA